UGCCAGAUGCAGCUGUCCCAGUAUCGUAAGCCAAGGAAGCCCUGAUAUGACGUGUCCCCAGUGUAUGACCCCGUUGGAAAGCCUGCCAGUGUAACCCGACUGCUCACCAAAAGAGACCUUCUAAAAAGCCUCAGAUGACUUGCCGCUCCUUCACCAGCAGGCUCAUGAGUACUAACUUCACAUCCAAGUAUCCCCAGUCCUAUCUGCUUCCCAGUCUUGAGGAACUAAAAGGCAGCGUUAAUCAGAUACUCUUCCGUCUGCAACUUCUUGGCUGCUCAGGACUUUUGUCAGGGGAGGACUCCCUGCAGUCAUGCAUCGGACUUCAGUGACUCGGCUUCCACUAGAAUCUCAGCACACACGCUCAACCUUUACCCAGGAACGCGCUGUCCUCAGCCCUCACAGUUGCAGGCCCUCCACUGUACGUACCAGAAAUGUAUUUAACCUGGUGUGGAUGUGGAAAGAAAUAAACGUAAAUCUUGAAUUCAGA